rnacentral:rRNA from 1 species
GACGAACGCUGGCGGCGUGCUUAACACAUGCAAGUCGAACGGAAAGGCCUGCUUUCCCUUGUGGAUUGCGGGUGCUCGAGUGGCGAACGGGUGAGUAACACGUGAGUGAUCUGCCCCCAACUUGGGUAUAAGCCUGGGAAACUGGGUCUAAUUCCCGAUAGGACUGCAGGGUGGUGCCUGUGGUGGAAAACGAUUUUCUAGUGGUUGGGGAUGAGCUCGCGGCCUAUCAGCUUGUUGGUGGGGUAAUGGCCUACCAAGGCGGCGACGGGUAGCCGGCCUGAGAGGGUGGACGGCCACAUUGGGACUGAGAUACGGCCCAGACUCCUACGGGAGGCAGCAGUGGGGAAUAUUGCACAAUGGGCGGAAGCCUGAUGCAGCGACGCCGCGUGGGGGAUGACGGCCUUCGGGUUGUAAACUCCUUUCGACCGCGAGGAAGCCACCUGGUUGGAAGGGUGGUGGCGGUAGUGGUAGAAGAAGCACCGGUUAACUACGUG